CAACGCUCUGCCGGCAAGAGGGGCAAAGAGUGGGUCCGAGGGCGCUCGGGCGUCAGGGAACGGGCGUGGCGAGACGCCGCUGGACCCCGACGGGUGUGGUGCUGCUGACACCGAAAGCAAGGUCGGAGGGCUCCUGGGCUGAGUCCAGAACUACAGAAGGAGCAGCGGGAUUCUGUUGUCCUUGGGACCGUGCCUGGCAAACAGCUCUCCGUUGACCAACAAGUAGCCGCUUGCUUUCUGUGGACGGCCAUUCUGAAGGGAGCGGACAACAUCCUGUUCGGAAGACGGCCACUCUGAUCAAGGAAGGGUGGGAAAUGGCAGUAGGAACUGUUCCUCUGCCUGCUGAAGGGACAGAGACUACAGAACUACAGAACGUGAUGACACAUCGUCACGGGGAUGCCCGUGGUCAUUCAGGAGGCGGCAGAUGGGUCCCCACAGGAAGAGACACUGACUCCGGACCUGGCUUUGCUAAGCCAGAGGUGGAUGGAUGUGCUCAGAGAGCCAGAAACUAACCAGAACGGAGACCAACAUUUCUUCAGACCAAGGACCACCAUUGCCAGCCUGUAAUGUCCCACAGUGGGCAGAGAGAUAUCCUUCUCGGAGACUGGUUUGGUAGAGAAAUGGGAGAGGCGAUUAAAGCAUUGGUUGUCUAAAAUGGGGUGGGGGCAUGGAUGGGGAGAUAAAGUAAUGACUAAAUGAGUUAUGUCAUAAGGGAAAUCCAGUGCGCCAUGAAUUCCUCCAAAGAGGCUCUGAGCAAGAGAUGCUGUGUUGUCUUAGCUCAAUUAUACUGGAUGUCCACAAGGGCAAAGUGAAACCAUGCAUGUGCUGACACCACUCCUGCUUCUGCACCCUGACCAGAUCGAGGAAAGGGCUUCAAACCUGAUGACUGGCCUCACCCUGAGAGAUGUUUUCAUGCAAGAGAACGAUGGACCAGAAUGGUUCCCAAGAACUGGAUGGGAUACUAGUAAUGUGCUAUACUAUCAUUUUGCUGCAAGGGGUCAUGUGGCCAGAGGCUAGGGGUGUGUGUGUGUGACAGAGAGAGAGAGAGAGAGAGAGGAAUAACAGAAGAAAAUACAUAUAUGGGUCUUAGCACAGAGGUCUUAAAUCUCCUGUAAUUUCCUAAAAGGUAAGAGCACUAAAAGCAUCUUCUGUUCUAUCAUUUGCUCUUUGACCCCAGUUCCCGACACUGGGCUCCUAAAUCCCUUGGAAUCUCCUGGGAGAUGGUAGUGUCUUUUUUGUUUGUUUGUUUGUUUGUUUGU